GGAGCAUGUGGUUUAAUUCGAAGAUACGCGAAGAACCUUACCUAGCCUUGACAUUGAUUGAAUACCCUAGAGAUAGAGUAGUGCCCAUCGGGGAACAUGAAAACAGGUGCUGCACGGCUGUCGUCAGCUCGUGUCGUGAGAUGUUGGGUUAAGUCCCGCAACGAGCGCAACCCUCGUCCUUAGUUGCCAGCAGGUUAAGCUGGGCACUUUAAGGAGACUGCCUUCGCAAGGAGGAGGAAGGUGAGGACGACGUCAAGUCAUCAUGGCCCUUAUGGCUAGGGCUACACACGUGCUACAAUGGGGCGUACAGAGAGUUGCGAUACCGCGAGGUGGAGCCAAUCUCAUAAAGCGUCUCUCAGUUCGGAUAGCAGUCUGCAACUCGACUGCUUGAAGCUGGAAUCACUAGUAAUCGUAGAUCAGCAAUGCUACGGUGAAUACGUUCCCGGGUCUUGUACUCACCGCCCGUCACACCAUGGGAGUUGAUUUCACCCGAAAUUGGGAAGCUAACCUUCGGGGGGCUACCACUUACGGUGGAAUUAGCGACUGGGGUGAAGUCGUAACAAGGUA
rnacentral:rRNA from 1 species